rnacentral:rRNA from 1 species
UUAUCUUAGUGGCGGACGGGUGAGUAACGCGUGAGCAACCUGCCUUUCAGAGGGGGAUAACGUCUUGAAAAGGACGCUAAUACCGCAUGACAUUAUGGAGCCACAUGGCUCUAUAAUCAAAGGAGCAAUCCGCUGAAAGAUGGGCUCGCGUCCGAUUAGGUAGUUGGCGGGAUAACAGCCCACCAAGCCGACGAUCGGUAGCCGGACUGAGAGGUUGAACGGCCACAUUGGGACUGAGACACGGCCCAGACUCCUACGGGAGGCAGCAGUGAGGGAUAUUGGUCAAUGGGGGAAACCCUGAACCAGCAACGCCGCGUGAGGGAUGACGGCCUUCGGGUUGUAAACCUCUGUCCUCUGUGAAGAUAAUGACGGUAGCAGAGGAGGAAGCUCCGGCUAACUACGUGCCAGCAGCCGCGGUAAUACGUAGGGAGCAAGCGUUGUCCGGAUUUACUGGGUGUAAAGGGUGCGUAGGCGGUUUGGUAAGUCAGAAGUGAAAUCCAUGGGCUUAACCCAUGAACUGCUUUUGAAACUAUCGAACUUGAGUGAAGUAGAGGUAGGCGGAAUUCCCGGUGUAGCGGUGAAAUGCGUAGAGAUCGGGAGGAACACCAGUGGCGAAGGCGGCCUACUGGGCUUUAACUGACGCUGAGGCACGA